ACCUGGCUGGCUUGGUGGGUAGAGCAUUGGACUCUUGAUCUCAGGGUUGUGAGUCCAAGCCCCAUGUUGGGUA
rnacentral:tRNA from 1 species